UGGCUACUUCCGCUCCUUCAGGCACAUUUCUAGGCCAACCUCAACCAGAUCCUAAGGGCCAUGCAAACGCUAUCAUACUACGAAGUGGGACAGAGUUAGAUGGACCAGUAGACCUAAGAGUUGAAAACCCUGCAAUGUAUAGAAGGUUAAAUGAGGAACCUAAGAAAGUUACUGAUGAAAAUCAAGUAGGAAAACUAAUAGCUGAUAAUGAAGAGACUAUCACUACUAAAGAUGUUAUUGAGAAAGAA
rnacentral:lncRNA from 1 species